AAGUCGUAACAAGGUUUCCGUAGGUGAACCUGCGGAAGGAUCAUUAGUGAUUUGCCGUGGUGGCGUAAAGACCCGCGAGGCGGUCCCCGGACCCCCUCGUGAACCAACCAAAACCGUGAACCCGUCGGCCUCGGCCGUCAACCCUUACACACAUCUGAAAGGUACGGAAAGUGACAAAACACAAACAGUUAAUACAA
rnacentral:misc_RNA from 1 species